CACAUUUACACCAUUUUAGUCCAAAGGUUGAAAAUCCUCAAUGCUGCGUUUAAUCUAUUUAUUUCCAUCUCAAUAACAUCAUAAAAGUUGUUAAACAGAGCAGUAUUCCUCCUGGUUUCGUGUCCCACGUUGCCUUCAGUCUGUUGAGAGCAGAGGAAUCAUUUCCAUAGAGAGGAGGCUUUGCAUCGUCAGCUGAUCCUCCAGUGAACUCAGAAGGUUUAUAGUCCUGUGAGUUCAACACUGCAGGACUCAGAUCUGUCGGACUGAAAACUGCAUCAAGAUGAAGUUUUCAAUGAUUGUCGUGUUGUGUUUUCUGAGUCAGGAGACUUCUGCAAACAAGUUUCUGACUCAGACUGACAAAUCCAAGUCUGUCAGUCUUGGAGGGACUGUGACCAUCAGCGCCACAGGGAGUUCAGAUAUUGGUGCUGAUCUCAGUUGGUACCUUCAGAAACCUGGACAGGCUCCCAAACUUCUCAUAUACAAAGUAUCAACUCUCUUCUCUGGAACUCCGUCUCGAUUCAGUGGCAGUAGAUCUGGUUCUGACUACACUUUAACCAUCAGAGGUGUUGAGUCUGAAGAUGUUGGAGAUUACUACUGUCUGGGCUACCAUGGUAGUGGAGUGUUCACACAGUGA